AAAGGUUCCUGGUGCCCAGACAUGUUCUGCCUCUUCACAAAGAGAAUUUCACCCCAAAUUUGUUACCCCUUAAGCUCAAGAGUCAAAUAAAGCCAGGCCAAUGGGAAAUUCCACAUGCUGACCCCUUUGAAAGGACUCCUGGCAUUUGAGAGAGAAGCUACUGCCAACACUUCCCUAAGGAAUGGGAGCUACUGGAGCUGCAGUGGGAACAGACUCAUCUUUGCCACCACCACAGAGCAAAUCCUUGAGCAGACUGCCCCCAUCAGAAAAGAUCUGCACAAAAAAGGCAAGAGUGAGACAUGAAGCCAGGAAAGCUGAGUGAAGUUGAGAGGGAUUAACAGUGAAAUUUGGUCUGGCCACUUGCAAAGCUAUAAAGUGCAGCAGGAUGGAGUUUUGCUUUUCCAUUUGGGAACUGUGGAAGUCUGAGGAGGAUGCUCUGUUUGGAAUGGAGAAAGAAGGUCUGUUGAUUACCAGAUCUGUUGUCUGGCUCAUCAAACCUUUGGAUAUUAUAAGAAAUACAAGAAAUACAGUUAAGAAGUUUAACAAAUAGAUGUGUACCAUGGAUCGAGAUCCCCCACUGAAUCCCACUGUCAUCCUGCCUUGCCUCUGGAUCAGAGCACUGGAUAUUGGUGUUUCUCCCUGCAGCCUGAGAGCUGAGUUUGGCAUCUCAGCUCGCUGGUGCUGCUCUUCCACAGACUCAGAGUUCUUCCCUCAGACACAGUCACAAGCAGCAGCCUGGGGCUGAGCAGUGCAGAAAACAUCCACACAUCUGUCACCUCUCCAGAGGUCUGGAAGAUGAGUUCUGCUGUCCCCAGGUGCCGAGCAUUGACCUAAGAAAGAGGUGGCAAAGGAGAGAGGAAUAGCGAGGCCUGAGGUGGCUUUUUUGUUCUCAGCCUUCAAGGUUGUGACUGCAACGUUGUGGUUCUUUGAGCCCCUUUAAGCUAAAGACUGGCUGUACCUUUGUACUAAGGAAGAACAGACAAUCCUGUGCCCCUCAUCCACAUGAAGGUGAUGUGAGGACUGUUCUUUGCAUAUCCUGGAUAAUAAACCUGGCUCUGCCAGAAAUCAAAUUCCAGAUGAGCAGAUGUGAUCCAUGGCAGCAGAAGCAGCACAGGUUCCUUUAUCAAGCACUUCCACACACCUCACCUGAGCUAUAAAAUGAGAGAGGUGCUCACAAAAGGAGGGAUUCUCAGUGCUUUUGGGAUUUAGGAGAAUGCUUGUGGCUGGGAGAUGUCUGUGUGCCUAAAGCUCCAGGACUGCCAAGCUGUCACAUCUCAGGCAUGAAUCAGCUUUCCAGCCUCAAAAAGUGGAGAGGGCUCAGCAGAGCACCCAGGAAGGGUGUGCAGCAUCUCAAAAACUCCCAUAUUCCAGACAAUCCUGGAGCCAUCCCGGGAAGCUGCCACCAGCAGCUGGCAAUCUGCUGGCACCAAGUGCCAUCGCUGUGACACCAGCCGUGACACACAGAGAGGAGGGAGAGGCUGCUCUUGCUGCCACAGACAGAAAAGGGACAUUUUUGAGCUUGUUUAUGUGCUGUGCUUCCCCAGCUGGAACCCCUGGUCCUGUGUGAACUCCGUGGUCUGUGCCAGGAGCAAGAUUAGGUUCCUGCAGACAUAUCUAGACCCUGUCCAGCAGCCUGGAGAACACAGAGCUCUAUUCCAAAGCUUACAGGUGUACAGGAAAACCUGUGUUUCCUCAGGACCAGAGCUGUGUGGUGGCCCAGCUCCUGCAGAAGCUGCCCUGGCUCCUCACUGAUCUGUCCUCAGCACUGAAGAUUCCCUUAAGCCUGGUGAUCUGUAACAGCAGUGAAUUGCUCACUAAAUUGUUUCAGAUGUCAUCACAGAGGUGAAGUGAGUAGCAACUGUGACUCAGGAUGGCAGCGUGGGCUCUGGCAUGACAGAGAACCGAUUUCUCACUCUCUGCCUGUUCCCUGAACCAUCAGCCCCCAACAGCUUGUUCACAGACUGCUGCCUUCGGAGCAGGAUUAAAUUCUUAGCUGGGAGGUAAUUUUGUGGGUGUUUACCAAAUCAUGUUGAUGUCUGAUGAAAUUCAAACCCCUUUAACUGGCAUUUCCUUGUGGUGGAUGGGCAGGCAGGAUGAACCAGAUGACUUGGGGCCAAUACUAAGAGCAUCCUAAAGAGGAAAAUAUCAACCCACUGUGCAGAGUAUUUGGCAUCAACACAUCAUUUCUCCGUUGUGAGUGGUUUGCCUUGUCUGUGUCUCGUCUUCCUGGAUGGAAACAGCUCACACUAAAUCCAAACUACCUUUGAGAGCUUUCUGGAAAGUCUUGUAUAGAUGUAUAUUCUUAUUUCUUGUUAAUUGGGCAAAGAAUUAAAAUGUCUUGAGAGAAAAAUCUUUGCUGCAGCAAAAAUCCUGGGUAUCUAAGGCCAUAGGAAAUGCUGUUUUAUCUCAGUCUUACUUUUCUUAUCCUCAUGGGAGCCAGUUGCAUCCUCUAAAGAAUAGCACAAGAACCAUAAAACAGAGACUCAUAGCUAAGGGCCAGAUAAAUCUGAACACUUUAAGUGAAACACUUAAAGCUCAAAUUUUUAAUGCUUUUGUGUGCCCUUAAAGCACCAUGAACAGGCUGCAGGAAGGAGCAGGCAUUUGGCAGCUGAUCACCUGGCAAGUGUUAAAAGGCUGUACAGCUCAGGAGACAGCCAAGGUAACAUCCAUCUUUAUCCUCUAGGUCUUUCUGCCUUGCUGGAUUAUAUAAUUUGUUUAUUCUUUGGACAAAGUGUGCAACAGUGUAAAUAUUGGCAUCAGUAACAAAAGGAAAAGUGGAAACCAGGAGCACUGGUUGCUCUGGCUUGGUGUUCUUGCACUGGCUUUGCCCUUUCUUGCACAAACUGAAAUUCUUUCCUUUGCUCUCCUCAUUUUGUUACUUCAUUUGCUGUGAAGAAUUAUUAAUGCUCUGUGUAAAAUUAUCCUCUGGGUUUGUUUGUUGUUCUUUUGUUUUAAUUACAAAUACGUAAGGCCUGUGGAGUUUCCCUGUCUGUGGAGCUGAUCUGCCACGAUGGAAAAGCUGCAGGCACCGGGUUUGGCUCUGCAACAGGAAAGAGAAACCUGUCAAUCCACAUGAAAUGCUGAAACAGCAACUGAAACAUUUGCUUUUCCCAGCAGGCACCCAGGGCCCCUUUGAGGAUUAAACCUACUGCUAAAUUUAGCCUGGUCUCACUGGAGUCAGUAUCAGAAGUUAUCAGAUCAGGACAUCUCUGGAGGGAAUGACGUCUGUCCCAUGGAAGUCUGAGCCCUGGCAGGCUCCUGUCCUGCCCUGGGCUGCAGCAGAGUUGGGAAUAUUCUGUGGAGCCAGAGACUCCAGAGACAUUGUAGGAUUCUUCAGACGUGAAAAAUCUGCUGUCAUCAGACUUACACUUACAGGUUCUGAGCAAUAUAACCCUGAACUGGAUGUCACAGGGCAGGAGAAUGGUUAAACCAGCUGAAACAUUGUGAUCCAUUAUUUUCUGAGUUGUUUUUUUUAGUGUGAGACUUGCACUGACCUUUUCCAUCCGUGGAUCAUACCAAUGGAAAUUCUCUUGUCCAGUGCAAUUUACACUCUCAUCUGCUCUAAAUUAAGGAGUGUUUACAAUUUAAAUAGUUAAAUCUGUGCGGGAGACAAGAGAAACCCUUGAAAAUAUAAACAGGCUUUGCAGAUUGUUUGGGUCGACUGGCUGUGUCAUGAUUUCCUCAUCACUUCCACCCCUGAGCUGUGGAAACAAAUUACUCCAUCCCUUUAGGAAACACCCCACUCCCAUUUCCUUUCUGUUUGGAGCAGAGCCUGAAGGAAGGAAGUGUCUGGAUGGGUCAGGUGGGGCUUCCCAGAGGUGCUGGAGCAGUCCCCGUGUCUCCACAGCCCUGGUUAAGAUGUGCUGCUUUUUCAAAGGCCCAUUUUUGCUUCUUGGGAUGAAGGACACCAGGCUGGAAUUGUACCAGACUGCCAGUGCUGAGCCAUGGAAAUUCAAGACAAGUUCCAUCUCUCUCACUGGGAAAGGCUUCACUAAAUGGAACUUGUGACUCCUCUGUGGCUGUUGUCUUCUCAGAACUAAUCCCACUCCUGUUGGGUACUCUGAAGGUGUUCAGAGCUUAAAUUUUAA